GACCGCUCAGGCCACAGCACUUCCUUC
rnacentral:piRNA from 1 species